rnacentral:misc_RNA from 1 species
GGUAAAAUAUAUGACUCAUCAUUCUGAAACCAAGCAGGAAAAAUAAGGUCAUAUAAAACAGCUGUAGAAAGCAAAAAGCAAUCAUGCAGGAUCAAAAUUAAUUGAGUGAAUCUUCAAAAGAUCCAUAAGAAGUUCAGUACAGAUUAUAAGCUCAAGUAAUAAUAUCAUACAUAUGUCCAUGCAUCAGAAUCAAAAUUAAAUAAGGAUAGGUAACAUUCUAGGCAUAAAUACAACAGAUUUAUUUCAAUACAAUUCUGCUUGCAUAUGCACAAGGGUGGGGGAAACCUAAUCAGGAACACACAUCCACAUACAAAAAAGAAAUAACACCAGCCUCUCAAAAGUUAUUAGCUUGGCGCCUUUUCAUAUUGAUAGUGACUAACAGUCCAGAUUGACCACUUGAUGAGUACUUGUGGUUUUCUAAAAGCCAAUAAACGGAACUAGUUAUUGAAUUCAUAAUAGGAAAACUUAUUGAUUUGCAUAAUUCAUAUGAUAUUAAAAUGCAGGGAAACAUAAAUGUGUGGGAGGAGUGGAGAGGGAGUUAUUUUUACUGGCUCUUCAAAAGAUAAGCACCUAAUUUCCUACCAAUAAUAAGCUAGACCUGUAUUAAUUUGAGAGAAUAAAAACUGUAAACUGGUUUUAUAUGACAACCGAAAACAACAAACUAAAGAGUCAAGACAAGCUAGAUAAUAUUUAAAGAAACAGGGAAAAAGAGUACUGUAAUUUGCUCAGUAGUCUGUAUA